GAUGAAGAACGCAGCGAAAUGCGAUAAGUAAUGUGAAUUGCAGAAUUCAGUGAAUCAUCGAAUCUUUGAACGCACAUUGCGCCCCUUGGUAUUCCGAGGGGCAUGCCUGUUCGAGCGUCAUUAUAACCCCUCAAGCUCAGCUUGGUGUUGGGGCCUGCUGCACUGGCAGCCCUUAAAAUCAGUGGCGGCGCCAUCUGGCUCUAAGCGUAGUAAUUCUUCUCGCUAUGGAGUCCUGGUGGAUGCUUGCCAUCAACCCCCAAUUUUUCUAUGGUUGACCUCGGAUCAGGUAGGGAUACCCGCUGAACUUAAGCAUAUCAAUACGCGGAGGA
rnacentral:misc_RNA from 1 species